AUGGCGAUGUAUAUGGAAGUGAGAAUUUAUUUAUAUUUUACAGAUAUCGGGAAAUGUGUCGAAGUUAAACAAAACCAUUCAUCUUUACUUGUGAGAGUCGGCGACACUGUAACACUCCAUUGUGAACAUGAUGGUGGGGUUAGCUAUCCUAACAUAUACUGGUAUCAGCAACCAAAUGAAGUAGCGGCUUUAAACCUAAUUGCAUAUCUCAACUACGCCAAUGCUUACUAUGAGCACAAUCCUGAAAGAAAAUUCAAAUUGACAGGAGAUGGGAGUAAAGAAGGACACCUGGAGAUUUCAAAAUUGAAAGCCGAAGACAGCGCAAAGUAUUAUUGCGCAGCAAGUAACCACACUGCGACAAAGUGCGCCAGGGAUCUGCUCAAAACCAACACGGUGAAACAACCAGGUUAA